ACCCCCAUAGCUUAUAGUAAAGUGUUAGAUUCUUACUCUAAUUAAGUUAUACUGAAUAACUGGGGGUA
rnacentral:tRNA from 1 species